UGCUAUACAUGCAAGUCGAGCGAAUGGAUUGAGAGCUUGCUCUCAAGAAGUUAGCGGCGGACGGGUGAGUAACACGUGGGUAACCUGCCCAUAAGACUGGGAUAACUCCGGGAAACCGGGGCUAAUACCGGAUAACAUUUUGAACCGCAUGGUUCGAAAUUGAAAGGCGGCUUCGGCUGUCACUUAUGGAUGGACCCGCGUCGCAUUAGCUAGUUGGUGAGGUAACGGCUCACCAAGGCAACGAUGCGUAGCCGACCUGAGAGGGUGAUCGGCCACACUGGGACUGAGACACGGCCCAGACUCCUACGGGAGGCAGCAGUAGGGAAUCUUCCGCAAUGGACGAAAGUCUGACGGAGCAACGCCGCGUGAGUGAUGAAGGCUUUCGGGUCGUAAAACUCUGUUGUUAGGGAAGAACAAGUGCUAGUUGAAUAAGCUGGCACCUUGACGGUACCUAACCAGAAAGCCACGGCUAACUACGUGCCAGCAGCCGCGGUAAUACGUAGGUGGCAAGCGUUAUCCGGAAUUAUUGGGCGUAAAGCGCGCGCAGGUGGUUUCUUAAGUCUGAUGUGAAAGCCCACGGCUCAACCGUGGAGGGUCAUUGGAAACUGGGAGACUUGAGUGCAGAAGAGGAAAGUGGAAUUCCAUGUGUAGCGGUGAAAUGCGUAGAGAUAUGGAGG
rnacentral:rRNA from 1 species